rnacentral:rRNA from 1 species
GUGUCAGCCGCCGCGGUAAUACGAAGGGGGCUAGCGUUGUUCGGAAUCACUGGGCGUAAAGCGCAUGCAGGCGGAUCGAUAAGUCGGGGGUGAAAGCCCGAGGCUCAACCUCGGAACUGCCUUCGAUACUGUCGAUCUUGAGUCCGGGAGAGGUGAGUGGAACUCCGAGUGUAGAGGUGAAAUUCGUAGAUAUUCGGAAGAACACCAGUGGCGAAGGCGGCUCACUGGCCCGGUACUGACGCUGAGAUGCGAAAGCGUGGGGAGCAAACAGGAUUAGAAACCCUCGUAGUCC